AGACGACAGCUCGGUGGCUGAGGAGCUCCGAGAGGCGAUUCUGCGCACGUCGGGCUCCGGGGCCGUGGGAACUGCGGCCGAGCUGCCGCCCGAAGAGAUGCUAGCGAAUCUUCACGUCAUCUGCUGCUCCACGAGAGCGACGACACCAGGGCGGGACCUGCUGCGGUGACCGGCUUGAAGGUGGGCCGGGCCAGUUGGGGAGGCGGGGACUUCGAGCGCCCGGUCCCCUGCUCUAGGGAGCCGGCCGCCGCCUGGAAGGAUUCCAGCUGCUGAGGAGGGGCGAGCAUUCCAGUGCGCUGACUCCACACCCAGAUUGCGGGCUUGAGCUAUAAUAUGGAGACCAGUGAUAAAGUUAUGAUGAGCAAUGGUACGCAAGAUUCAGAAGCAGCACAUUACGCAAAACAACUCACCAAACCACAGAUACAAAAGAGAAGAGCCACCAUAACUCCAGUUGGAGAGAAAAUCCAGGUUAAGAUCUAGUCCUUUAAGUAGAAUAGAUUCUCUCUACAUCUCCCUCACUAUUCUUAGGCCACAUUUGCCUAUUUCUUUUCCUAAAAUGCCUACUAGACUCUUCUUGCCUCAGAGUUUUUUUACUUAUUUCCUCUGCUGAACACUUAUUACCUAGCUCCUCCUUAUCAUUCAUAUCUCAGUCCAAAUAUCACAUCCUUAGAGAGACCUUCCCUGACCAUCUUAAAAUCUUCGCCCCAGUUCCCAAGUCAAUCUCUACCACAUUACCUUGUUUUAUUUCUCCUGCUGUAUUUAUCACUAUCUAAAAUUUUCAUGUGUUUAUCGUCUGUCUCUAUCUACUAGGAUAUAAGAUUUAUGAGGUCAGGAAACUGUCUAUAUUUUUCUUGGCUGAAUCUCUAGUGUCUGGUGUCAUAUCUGGAUCAUAAUAGUCAAAUCUAUGUUAUCGAAUUAAUCGAUUUACUCCAAUUAUUUUAGCACAAACUAAAUUUGUAGUAAUCAUGCAGUUGGCCUUUACUAAAAUUCUUCAUGUUAAAAGACCACAGAACCACCUUCACUUCCCAAAAAAUAAUAAAAAAAUUUUGUUUUAA